CAUUUAAUUAGCGUUAUAUCUCCAGAUCUUUUACUUGAAAGAUUUAAUUAAGAAAAGUAUAAAUAUGGAUACAUGGACUAACAAGUUAGCUGUUUUUUGGAAAGGUCCUAGCUGGUUUCCAGGUGCACCGCGUUUAGGUUUAGAUGAAUUUAAAAUAAAGGUAAAACCUAGACCUGUAUAUAAUCCUAAUAUUUCAAGAUGGAAAAAUAUAUAUAUUAGUAUACAAUUUUUGAUAACUCUGUUCAAUCAUUUUCAACUAUACAAAUAUCGUGAGGUAAGGUUUCAACAUA